UUGCCAGCACAAAAAUUGUAAAGUCUUUCUCAAAUCUCAUAAAAUCGAAAAUUUGAAUUAAAGUUUUUCUCAAAUCUAAAAAAUUUGGGGAUUUGAACUGGAUCUGGCUAAAAAUUGAGACAAGAGAGGAGGCCAAUCUUUUCUGAAAAAACUUUUGAAAGGCAUUUUUUUCUGGAGGCCAAUUUUUGGACGAAGAAGGCAAUGCCAAAAAUCCAACAAGCCAUUGCCUCCACCGGCAACCAUGUGUACCACCAUACCUUCUCGCCUUAAACCGCCACCAUCAUCCCAUUCCCUUUCCUUUGCCAGCCGAUCACCAAGCCAAACCCACCGAUCUCCCAACUACCCCCCAGGAACAGCUCUCACCUACCCACCACCCACAGCCCUACUAAGAUAGCCAUCGAAACUGCCAAAAAAUAAAUAGCAACUGUCACAGCCAAAAAUAAAAAAUAAAAAAACCAAGCCAACAAAGCAAAAAAAAAAAUUACAAACAACCACAGUCCUCUAUUGAGGAAUCCAUCGGGAAAAAAAAAAGAAACAGAAAAGGGCCCGUUGAGGAUGAAAGGGGCUUUCGGUCAUGGGAUUUUUUUUUUUUUGUUUUUGUGAGUGACUUGGGAGAGUAUUUUUAAGAUUUUGGGAAAGGAGAGAAAAGAGCUAUUUUUUUGGGCGGUGGGAACAAUGGCGCCGUAUGGAGGUCAGCGCGGGCGAGGAGACUUUUGGAUGAUCAGAACCGGUAGAAAGAAAGGAUGGAAGGGGAGAAACAACAUACUUUGGUUUCAGGACGACCGGACGGCGAGAAGAGUGUGAACGGCGGUUUAAAAUUUCGGGUUAAAGUUUCAGAUCUAAGCUAUUAUGAGGUGAUUUGCGAAAAACAGAGGCUGAAUCUAAGACAAGAAGGCAGAGAGGAGUCCACGGCUGAAAUUUUGGAGUCAACUGACGCCGAACGGCUGCGGUGAACGGCGGCCGGGUCGGCUACCGUCGUCGGGAUCUGGGUUAGGGGAGAGUGGCCGGGUGUGUCUUUUUGGAGAGAAAAUGUUGCAUUUGAUGCAAAAAACGAAAAACUCAGGUAUGCACAGUACAAGAGAAUAUUGGAGGAAAUUGACAAGUAUGAAGGUGGUUUGGAGGCAUUUUCUCUUGGCUAUGAGAAGCUUGACUUCACAUACAGUCAGCAGCACUGAUUGGAAAUUUUAACAAUUGGAACCCUAAUGCAGAUAUUAUGGGCCGGAAUGAGUUUGGUGUCUGGGAGAUCCUUUGGCCUAAUAAUGCUGAUAUUUCACCACCAAUUCCCCAUGGUUCUCAAGUGAAGGAGCCAAUAAUUAGCACAUAUGCCAACUUUAGAGAUGAUGUGCUUCCCCACAUUAAAAGACUUGGAUAUAAUGCUGUUCAAAUCAUGGCUAUUCAAGAGCACUCGCAUUAUGUUAGAUUUGGGUAUCAUGUGACAAACUUCUUUGCACCAAGUAGCCGUUUUGGCACCCCUUGUGAUCUUAAGUCACUGAUAGAUAGGGCUCACGAGUUGGGUCUACUUGUUCUUAUGGAUAUUGUGCACAGAUGGAUUGAACAUGUUUGAUGGAACCAAUGCUCAUUACUUCCACUCGGGGUCAAAGGGUCACCACUGGAUGUGGGAUUCUCGCCUUUUUAAUUGUGGAAGCUGGGAAGUACAAAGGUUUCUUCUUUCAAAUGCAAGAUGGUGGCUUGAAGAAUGCAAGUUUGACGGGUUCAGAUUUAAUGUUGUGACUUCAAUGAUUACACCUAUCAUGGGUUGCA